rnacentral:tRNA from 1 species
GGGGCUGUGGUGUAGCUUGGACUAGCAUUUAAGGUUUGGGACCUUACGACCCCAGUUCAAAUCUGGGCAGCCCCA